rnacentral:lncRNA from 1 species
UUGUGUUAGGUUUGGGCGUGAUUUUAAUAGUUUUGAGUUUUGAGUGAAUUUUGAUUUUCAUAUAAUCCAUGUUCUCCCAUGGAUUCUUGGUUUUUUAUUUGGGGUUUGAAAUAGCCACUCUCUCUUCACACUGACUGUGUUUUCUCUCUCAUCACUUUCUCUCUCUUACUGGGCAAUUUGUUCUCUCUCAUACUUGGGUGAUUCAGGACUGUGUUCUCUCUCUAUUGCUUCUUCCUAUUAUUGGCUUGCGUGUUCUCUCUCUCUCUAUUUUCUUUUGGGUGCUGCUCUUCUCUCUCCAAGACUAGGCUCUUCGAGGCCUUUGAAGCCUCAAUCUCUCUUAUGGUUGCUAUUGUAAAAUUAAACCAAAUAAAUAAGCUAACAAUUGGUUGCUAUUGGUGUGGCUACUGGGAUUUUGGGGUGCUUUUUUAUGGUUUGUGGAGCUGUUUAGCUCUACUAAUUGAG